GACGAACGCUGGCGGCGUGCUUAACACAUGCAAGUCGAACGGAAAGGCCCCCUUGUGGGGUACGUCGAGUGGCGAACGGGUGGAGUAACACGUGAGUAACCUACCCUUGACUUUGGGAUAACUUCAGGAAACUGGGCUAAUACCGGAUAGGAGCUCCUGCUGCAUGGUGGGGGUUGGAAAGUUUCGGCGGUUGGGGAUGGACUCGCGGCUUAUCAGCUUGUUGGUGGGGUAGUGGCUCACCAAGGCUUUGACGGGUAGCCGGCCUGAGAGGGUGACCGGCCACAUUGGGACUGAGAUACGGCCCAGACUCCUACGGGAGGCAGCAGUGGGGAAUAUUGCACAAUGGGCGGAAGCCUGAUGCAGCAACGCCGCGUGCGGGAUGACGGCCUU
rnacentral:rRNA from 1 species